rnacentral:rRNA from 1 species
GUCUAUAGCCAUACCACCAUGAAUGUACCUGAUCAUGGAAGCUAAGCAGGGUCAGGCCUGGUUCAGACUUGGAUGGGGGACUGUACAGACACCAUUCUUCUCCUUGGGGAAUCAUAAGAGUCAUGAUUU